rnacentral:misc_RNA from 1 species
AACGCACCUUGCGCUCCUUGGUAUUCCGAGGAGCACGCCUGUUUGAGUGUCAUGAAAUUCUCAACCUUUUCAGCAUUUAUGUUGAUCAGGCUUGGAUGUGGGAGUUUGCGGGCUUCUCAGAAGUCGGCUCUCCUUAAAUACAUUAGCGGGACCUUUGUUGCCCAGCUUUAGUGUGAUAAUUAUCUACGCUAUUGUUGAAAGCAGCUCUUAAUAGGGUACAGCUUCUAAUCGUCUCAUUUGAGACAACUUCUGACAAUUUGACCUCAAAUCAGGUAGGACUACCCGCUGAACUUAA